CAGCGCAGCCCGCAACACCCCUGGUCUGCCGCAGGAGACCCUGCCGAUGCCACUCAGGGUCAAGACUCUGGCGCGGUGGAAACUGCAGAGCAAAAGGAAACACAGACAAAAACAGUGAGAAGGAGAGAGAGCAUGUGGGGCUUUGCCAGAGAGGAACUUGGAUGGCAAUCACCUAAGAACUCCAAACUCAGUGCCAGGGCAGACUGGUGUCUAUUUUGCAAUGUCUUCCAGUAGUUGAUAACUUUCUACUUUUAAAAUAAUUGGAAGAAUGUAAGCUCUCAACUAGUCCACUAGUCCCGAAACAAUAGAUACCAGCUGGCAGAGAUAAUAGCUGUCUGGAAGAGAGAGAUACAUACCACAUCAAAAAACAACAAAAAAAGGAUGGCUCAAGUACUCAAAAGGCAGCACUAAAAUAAGGCUAUGUCUCUUCCUGAGAAUACUCUGGACUUCAUUCUCUGAUUAAAGAUCACAACUGCUUCUUCGUUGAGGAAAUCAUGUAUUUCAAAGCCACCAAUGAACAAGAAUGACAAUCCAUGAAUUACACAGUAAACAAAUACUAUAUGUAUGAGACCGAUUCACUGUCACAAACCUGGAGAAGAAAACCCUUUUGAGGUUUAAAGCUGAGAGGGAGAUAAAAACUUGGUUGUACUACUUCUGGGAAAUGCUGAAGUUAUCCACGUGAUUUUCCAGUCACUGAUUAUUUUAGCAAAGUAACACAAACAGAGGAGGAGCUCUGGACUCUAGCUUCUCAUUUCUAAAAGAACAGAUGUAAUGGGAUGUAUUGGUCCAGCACUGAUAACAGGUUAUCCUACAAUCAAGUAUACUCUUUCCAGAAAGCUGAGUUAGGUAUGCAACUGCCUUUCUAAGCCAUGACUACAUUGCUAAAUGAAUCAUUGAUUUGGAAAAUCUGAAGUGACCUUCAGCUUGUUCUCCAGCUCUUCCUCAACAGAAAAGAGAGGCAAAAUCAGCAAAAUAUUGGAAAGAGGUAGUUUUUCUAAAGGUAUUUGUGGCAGGUAGAAGAUUGGAGGCCACUCAGCUAUGUGUGUAAGUGUGUGCAGGGAGAAAUUAGGUUCUAUAUUCAGAAGUGACAUUCUUUGUAUUUUCAGUGUGGCUCUAAAAACAGAGCCUUUUUCUUAUAGUUCAGAGUCAGACACUGCCCUUGGCUUCUCAGCCAUUCUAGUAAACUAUUUGUUACUCAGAAAGCCUCAAAUUCUUCAUUGAAUUUAUUUGGACCAGUUUUUGUGCACUUACCUCGUUGGCAUGGUAAUAGUCUUUUGAAUAACCAAUACUGUGAACAAUUAUACAAUUAAAAAUUCUACUUCCAUUAUUAUUCUUAACUUCUCCCUUUAUAUUUUGUUACAGUUAUGAGGUAUGUUUUAUUAACUAUUCUAGACAUAGAUCUAGCCCUGCAUUUACUCAGCACUGCCUUGCUCCUUUUCAUGAGGGGUGAUCUAGUUAGACAUAUCAAUAUUCAAUGAAAUGUAUAGAUUACCCUGAUAAAAUGGCUCAAUGAAGUUCAUGUAAGGUCAAUGGAAGAUUGAGGCAUCAUAUGCACUGAGCCACUAAUUGGUCUCAUACUAGUAGGAUAUAGCUAUCCCCACCCCCUAUAUCUUGAGUCUCCUUCCUCUUAGGUGCUGAGCAUUUCCAAAGGCUUCUCUAGCUGAAGCAGGUAUAAGAAAAUGAAGUGACAUAAAGCAUCAACCCUUAGGUAUAAAUGAUUGGCAAGUCUCAACCUUGCUAAAACUGAGACUUUUCAAUUAGCUAUGCUUAAAAGUUUCUACUGAAUUACUGAAGCCAUAAUUAUGUAUGUAAUUCAAGUUUCCUUUGAGCUGACCUACAAUGAAAGAAGUUACCUAAAUGACCUCUUAGGUCCUUUUCUCUCUCCAGCAAUCAUGGAUACUUUACGAAUCUCAUAAGGAGUACAGCUCAUUUAUUAUUAACACCAUUUUAGAAUGAAGGAAGAAGAGGCUUAGAAAGGUUUAGUAGCAGAGAAGAGAGCAGCCUUCUGAUUUGUGGGUUCCACAUUCUGGAUGCAGAAAACUUUCAGUCAUUCUUAUCUAUUGUGAGGCUUGUACCAGUUUCUCCAUAAACUUACAAAACCAAACCAUUUUGACAAGCUUUGUUCCUGCCUCUGACUUCUUUCAGAUAGUGGCUAACCAUCUUCUCUUGAUGAGUCAUUUUUGCUCUUCCUCAUUCCCUUCUUGAUGUUCAAGUAGGUGAACGUGAUGACUAUAAAAGGCAAGCAAUUAAUAUCUGGGGUUAGGCAGAGCUCUGUAAGCCAAUCUCCAAGAAUGUGCAAGCUCCUUUGUCCUUAACUGUAACCUUGGCACAUGAAAAGCAACUUCCAUUCCGUUUUACCAACAUUUCGGUCAAAGAUCAAUUGCCAUUGUAAUUAUAUCAUAUAUCACAGGAUGGGGAAUCAGUGAGAGGGCAGGCCCUUUAAACUAAUACAUAUCAUUAGCAUUUAAAGAACAUGAAAAACAAAUUGAACAUUAGUCCUCAUGUAAGUCUUUUUUCUAGAGCAAAUAAUUUUCCAAAUUAAAAUGAAUAAAUUAAUGAAAUUGUCACAUGUCUGAGAAUAAACUAGGUUGGUAAUGCCGUCAAGCUCUUAGCAAAGUUUAGCUCAUUGUACUUCUCUGUCUGAUCAUUAUAACAUCUAAUCAAGGGGAGCUUAAAUACUUCAAUGAGCUCUCAAAAUAAAUUUGAUCUGAGCAGCUCAGGUCUCAUGGAUUCCUAGGGUUACUGACUGGGUGAAACAUGUUUUUGUUUUAAUCCCUGUCUCAGCUCAAAGAGGAUUAAUGCCCGUAAUUCUGCUAUCCCCAUUUAAUUGAGAAAUGAAAUUUGAAGAGGCACCUCCUGGAACACUCCACUUUGAAAUAUGACCCAUCCACUGUCUAUAUAAUAAAUCUUCCUCUGCUCUCACACACUUAUCCACAUCCUUCCUAUCCCAAAGAAGGAGGAAAGAAAGUUAUUGUGUGUGUGUGUGUGUGUGUGUGUGUGUGUGUGUUUCUGUGCAUCUAAUCCAAAACACACAAUGUUGUUGUUUUAUUUUUCAAUUUUGGAAUUAUCCUAAUAAAGGCAUUCUCUGGGAAGCUCAGACUGCAUCUCAAACCUUUCUCUGACACUAGCAUCCUCAUUGGAACAAAUAGCCCUUUCACUAAAAGCAAUACAGUUAUUGCAUUCAUGUUAUAUGAUGGUAAUUUUCACUUUUGCUUUCAAUACAACAUUAAAAGAAAAAUUGUCUAUAGGAAAGAAAGAGGCAAUAUACUAUAUCCUGGAACUAAUUCUUUGGCAUCUGUAAAAAAGGGGGCCAUAAUUCUGAAUAGAGGCUCCUGUCCUAAAACAGACCCAAUGCUAAGAUCUAAUAGAAAGGGCACAGAGAAGCAUAAGGAAACUUAAUGUCACUUUCACGUUUUUUGUACAAGUUGAUGUGAGGAUCUAAAGAGGCAAUUUCUGUAAAAUGCCUAGUAGAGGACCAGGCAUAUAGUAAGCCCUCAGCAAAUGCUGGCUGUUAUCAUUAUGUUUUAUAAAGAAUUUUUACAUCUUCCUCCUAAGCCCUGAGGCUUCAUAACGAAGCCUUAUAUAUGACUCUCAAUGGCUCAAUGUCUUUCCUAACCUAAUGUAGAAAGUGACAUACCAUUGCUUCCAACAUAACCUAUUGGUCACAUGGACCAACAUAAGACCAAUGUGGGAUGACCCUGUACAUAAGGGUAAGAAGCAGGCAUCACUUGGGGCCAUCUCAAAGGAAGGUGACCACAACUGCCUAAUGGCAGUUGAAUCCUUUAUCAAGCUACCCUCAGUAACACUUCAGCUUUCAAGGACCAGGUUUUUGUGACUAUUGUGAACAGGAUUUUAGUGAAUGAAGAUAUAUCCCAAAAUAACAUUUCACUUAAAAGUUGAAUAUCUGUUAUCAAUUUACAAAUGCUUUUAUGUUAUAUCUCACUUGAGCUUCAAAAUAACCUUUUAAGACAGACAAGAGUAGAAACUACUCCAGUGAUUUCAUAGAUAAGGAAACUGAAGAUCAGAGAGACUUAAUGAUUAACCUAAGAUUUAAACUAGAUAUCCUCCUAGCAUUCUCAUGGCACUUAUUCUGCUAGCGUAGGCUGCCUUGUAUAUUUUUUAAAUGACUAUCUGUUUAUGUGCUGGUCAUGGGGUUUGCAGCAAAUCACAAGUGUGUAAUUUUUUUUUCUUAAAGGCAUUUAAUCUACUUUCUAAAAAUCACUAGAAUUCAGAAACUGAUACUACUUCUUUUGUUUCAUUAUUUGCCUCCCUGCCCCCAACACUCAUACAUAUUUAGAGACACCCAUGGACACUCAUGAACACACAUAUUCUUCUUUCUAGUCCCUUAUCAAUGGCAAACUAAAGUUAUUUUAGAAUAUACUAGCUGUCAUUGUGCCACAGAGAAACCUCUCUUUCAUGCAAAUUGAUAUAUGUAUAUAAUCAUACAUGUUUAUAUAUAAACUUUGUAGCUUUCCUCCCUCUUUUCUAAAAUAAAUUAUGAAAGGUUGUAUGUUCAGGCUUCACGCAGAAUUUUUCAUUUGAGGGAGACUUUUUCAACCCUUUCUAUUUGAGUUGGUAGCCAUUUAUAUGAAGAGAAAAUGAAUACUAAUGGAAAAUCCUAGAGUGGAUUUGGAAAAUCAUUAUAACAGUUCUGCUAUAGGUUUGGGCCUUUGACAAACCACCUAUUCAAGGAUGAAAAAUCCACUAUUUCUCUUCUGCAUUUCUUUUUCCGAAUACAGCUAGAUUGAAUAACAGGCCAGAUAAAGGAUUCAGAACAAUUGCUUUACUAAGUAAUAGUGAGCCCAUGUUCUAACCAAUGGGACAGAAACUGACCCUCUGUAUCUCUGACACAGUUGCCUUUCAUUGACAGAUUUACAGUGGAGGGGUUGGGAGAGCAGAUGAAUUAAAAAAAAACAAAAGCAAAUCAAGAUCCCCCAUAAAUUUCACGAUCCCCACAUCUUCCACCUCAGCACCUAUUAGAACACCUUACUCUUAAAUUCUGCACAUGUGGAGAUUUAUUUGUAUCCCAGAGGUUUGCUCAGAUGUUUCCUCUGUGCUUUCAAUGCAGGCCCACCCUUUUCUUUCUUCAUAUUAAAACCAUAUAGAUUCUCCUUGAAGCCUUCUCAACUGGUAAUAAUCAUUUACAUCCUUGCUAGUGCUUAUGAUUUUCGAAUUACUUUUAGAUAAUCUAACUCAGCGAUCUCCACACAACCUUAGACACUUAGCCCGGCAAGUAUUGUGCUUUUGCUUUCAUGGAUGAGAAAAAGGAGACUUGGAGUGCUUUGAUUAGCAAACAAGGUUACAGAGCUAAAAAAGGAGUGACACUGGAGUAGAUCCCAGCUUAAAUGAAACCCACUGCUUUACCUGCCCCUAUAGCCUGCAUGAUAUUUCCCUAUUCUGAGUGCUUGGAGCUCUUGGAGUCUCUUACAUCUAAUGUGAUCAUUAAGAGGUACUAACUGUCUGAUUGCUUCUUGUGUGCAGCUAACUCACUGGUGACCCAGCACUUUGGGAGGAUGAGGAGGGUGGAUCACAAGGUCAGGAGUUCGAGACCAGCCUGGCCAACAUGAUGAAACCCCGUCUCUACUAAAAAUACAAAAAUUAGCCAGGCGUGGUGGCAUGCACCUGUAUUCCCAGCUACUUGGGACACUGAGGCAGGAGACUUGCUUGAACCCGGGAGGCAGAGGUUGCAGUGAGCCAAGAUCGUGCCACUGCACUCCAGCCUGGGCGACAGAGUGAGACUCCAUCUCAAAAAUAAGUAAAUGAAUAAAUAAAAAUAAAAUAGAUUGAGCCUCCACAUUUUGCAUGCAGCUUUCUUGGUGCUUGUCCUUCUCCUGUGCUUACUCAAAGAUGGGACAUUGUGCACAAUGAGAAGAGUAUUGGGACCAGUAAGGAAGAAUGAGUCAGAUAUUGUGGGACCUCUUUUUUUGUUGUUUUUUUUUGCUCCCAGAAAUCUUUGAGGUAAGUAACAUAGUCAAUUGAGGUCUGGAGUUAUGUACUCCAUUUAUUCAUUUUUUCUUAACAUAGUCCCUCCUUACUAUGUGAUAUUCUCUGUCCUAGACCUUGAAAAUACAAGUUAAAUAUGGCAUAUUCUUUACCUCUAUGAGCUUAAAAUUGAGUGGGGAAAGUUUCAUUUUUUCUUUGAAAUGAAAACAAACUUAAGUACCGAUAUGCAUGAGAAAAAUAAAUUGUUCAUUUCUUUACCUACAUCUCAUCAGGAGUAAACACAUUCUCUCUCUGGCUAAGCCAAAUAUACCAUAAAUCCCUCCUAAAAAAAUACCCUGAAAUUGAGAAUCCAAUUUUAAUGGCUAAAUUAUAUUUACCUUGAACUGAGCAUUUUCUAUUAGGAUUUACGUAUGCAUCUUGGGGAUUCUGAAUGUUGGACUUUUUUUUCUUUUUUCUUUUAGAUUUUAACCUGAAUGGAAAAGACAAUAUGAGGGUGAUGAAAGACUCUAGAUGGUCCGUCUUGGGUAAGAAGAGAAAAAAAACAUUCAUUCCACUUAUAUCCAAGGUGUUUCACAGAUGAUAUGAAAUACUUUUGAAUGGCUCAGCUCUUUAACUAAUUCCUUUGAUAAAUCCAGGAGUCAGAACUUAGAAAUAUACAAUAGACUUUUUCCUAAUCAGCAAUGGCACAGGUGGAAAUGUGUCCUCUGUGAGUGUAUUCAAUAGUCACUCAAUGGCCUUUGACCAACAUACUACCUUUUAAAAUGCAAGAUCCUGCAGUCAAAAUUUCUGCUCACAUUCUCAGAGCUGUAUCUCUUCAUCACUUAUUGGACUUAAACUCUAUUGUCUUCGGCUGAUUUUUCAUUAGGGUGAAGGGUCAUUGACCAAUCAUUAUGCAUAAAUAACUGGGAAAUUUAGUGGUGAGCCUUCAAUAGUGGAAGUAGCAUAAAAUAACAGCAAUCAUACCAAGCUCUAUUGAGAGAGUCCUCAAUGGAAGUAAUAUGAAUGGGGAUAGGGAACUAGGGGUGAGAGGGCAAUUCCUCUGGGAGUUUCAUCCCAGAGGAGACUUCACUUGAACUGAACUCCAAAGGAUGAACAGAGUUUUGCACUACAAAAAUUGCAUAGAUAUAACAAGCUAACAGAACAAUCCGAGCAGGUAAGAGCCUGGGCCAUGGCUUUGUAUCAUUAUGCAUAGUUUGGAAGAAUAUUAAUAUUGAUUCUCUGUACCAUUUUUGAGUAUAUUCAUCAGAUCCAUUGCUUGGUGUUAAUUGCAUUUUGUCAAACAAGAGCCUUCCACACAAUUUAGGAGACAUUUAAAUACUAGUUGAUAUAUUUUACAAAACUGUAUUCUAUACUCAAAAUCCAGAGUUAAAAUUGAGGCCCAUUUCUUUUCCAUGAUGUAAUACUAUGUUACUUUAGUGGCAAAUUCUCAUAUUCCUUGAAAAGCUCAUCAUCUUGAGGUGACAGUUCAAAACUGCCUUCAUAAAAUUAGGAAGAUCCCAGAAAGCUUGAAACAGAGAACAGUUAUUCCCAUGAUAUAUGAUCUUCCUGGGCCUCUACCUCAUAAACUUCUAACUUCCUUUCAAAUAGUAUAGAAAGGCCGAUUUUUCCUCCUUUGUACACAACAUUCAUUUUUUUCCCCUCUCUCUGGGCUAUUAUUUAUUAUUUAACUUGGUUACUGUAUUAUUUAAAGAAAAAAGCAGUUUGCAAUAUUGCCUGUAUGGGAGAUUCUAUAGAGGGUAAAGUAAUAUUGAUUGCAUUGUAGCUAUUAACUACUGUUCCGGAAACAAGGAAGGAGUAUAAGACACUGAAUCAGGGCAAGAAGUACAUUCACCCUCCUACAAGCUAAAAAAGAAAAAAAAGGUAGCAAACCACCUUCCAAAUUAUUCACAAACUUUAGAAUUUCUUCUUCAAGGUCCAAAGAGCCAGCUUGAAAUGUUAAGAUAAUUGGUGAACUUACAGGAAUAGAAAUGGCCCUUAAGGAACAAAAAAAUUUCUCAUACUUUUAGAGACUGUAAAAAGAAUGACCAAGCUUCCGUAAUUUUGUUCUAGUCCACAUUUUCAACAUUAACUACUAAAUCCUUUAUACAAAUGCACUGUCUAUUUAGACUGCUUUUCCUAGAACCCCAUACAUCUUUUUCUGGUUCUUUCUGAUGAUCAUAUCACCCCUUGAAAAAUCCAGAUUAAAAAAAAAAGUAUGAAUUUACAUACACUUAUAUUCCUUGGUCUUUCUCCAUAAAUAUACCUGGAUCUCUCUGUUUUGGUUGUAAGUGUAGAAGUUGGUGGAAUCCUAUUUCCAGUAGGGGUUAAUUAACCAAAUGGGAAUUCUAUACAUUGGAUCUCACAAUGGAAUAUUUAGAAAUAAAUCUGUAAGAAGGCCUGGGAAGCAUAAAGGACCCAGGGGGAGAAAACACAGUCAAUAAGGCUAGAAAUGGAAGAAUCCCUUUUAAAAAUCAAACUGAGAAAAAAAGAAGCAGAUGUCAAAAGCUCGGUAUGAAGUCAAGUCACAGGGACAAUGAAAUCCAGAGUAGGGAACAGAGGUCAAGAGAUUAGGGGAGGGGUUAUUUUUGGGAAAAAAAUCAAGAAGAGUGUAAUUUAUCACUGACAUUUAAUUGGCCUCCAUGGUGAGAUGCAUGGAAUUACCACCAGUAUUUAAAAGGCUAUAGACAAGGAAGACAGAAUCAAUCAAUCAGAUUUCCAACUGAACUUAUCCCUCUGUUAAGUGUUGUAGCAACAGAAAAUACAUGCUUCCUUAAGGGAAGUUAGAAGACCAAGGUAGCAUAUGAAUCAAUUAGAAAAUACUGUUUCACCGUACAGAAUACUGGUUUCUACAGUCCCUCUAAAACACCCUUGCUCAAAGUGAUUGAUUAGUAAAUACUUGUUAAAUAAACCUAAGAGCUGUUUGUGUUUUCUAGAUUCUAUACACUAUAAAAUUAGAGGGGAGAAGAAAUUUAACAAGGGUAAAGGGCAAGACAGAUCUAAAAGGAGAUGGAGCCUGAACUAUGCAUUUGAUAGUAAAAGAUAGGGGCAACAAGAAGGAAGAGAAGAACAAAUGGGAGAAAAAUGAAAAGGGAUGAGUAAAAUAAUGCCUCAAUAAAUUAAAUCAUUGCUCAGAUGUUAAGCCAAAAUUCCAGAGCCUAAAACCCAGUUGUCUAAUCCUAUUCAUUAGUAUUUCAUCCAAAAACGUACACAUUUCUCUCCUUCACAUAAUACCUCACUUAAAUGUUUCUGGUAUUCAUUGAUGAGUAUCACAUAAAUGUCCUUUCCUACUUGCCCAUGUACAUAUGAAUGAAUCACAAAGCCUUACCCUCUUGAAGCCAGGCAGGUCAGAGCUCAAGAACGACCUUGAACAAGCUAUUCUUUGAACUUCAGUCUCUGCAUCCUGUAAAAGGAGAAGGUUGUAGUCCUCUGUGGUUUUUAAAUCUAAAGCAAACCUUCACCACAUAGUAUUGUUUUUAUUUAAAUGAUUUCAGUCUGAAGAUAUACACAUAUAAUGGUCAAAAUGAAUAUGUUGAUUUCUGUACAAAUUAAUGUUUUUUGCUAUUUGCACUGAUAAAAUUGAAACAAACACAAUGAUAACAAAGUAGCUAUUUAACUUAAUGAUCAUUUAAUUUUUCUUUUGAUAAUGCAUGUUUUUAUCUGGACUAAUACGAUGUAAAUUAUAACCAACAAGUUUUAAAUAUUCUCUCAUUUGAAGCAUCUGCUCAAUGAAGGAGAAUCGCAGAUAUGUGAACUCCUCCUGCUUCUGCUGUUUGUAGGAAGAGGCAGACUUGAAACCCUGCAUUGUCUGUGGCCUAAACAUUGCACAGAUGAUCAAUUUGUGAAAUAAGGGAUUUUUUAUUUGUAUUUGCCUAAAUAGAGAAACGCUAAUGGUGUGUUCCAUCAAUUAAAGAGAAAAGAAAUAAAUCUACCAAUACUACUGCAUUUGUUCAUUCAUAAAUUCAUUCAUUCAUUCCUCAUUCAUUCAUAUGCUAGAUCUUUGUAAUAAAAAAUUGAAAAAAAAUUAAACUCUUCAUUAUAAGUCUCAUCCUAGGAAGACAGACAAGUACACAUAUGAUAAGACAAGAAAAUUAAACUUUCUCAAGUGUUAAAGAGCAAGCACCAUCAUAUGUGUUUUUUAAUAUCACAUUGCGUUUAAUCUAAAUGCGCUAAGGAAACACAGGGCCAACCAGGGAGCUUGAUGUAAGUUUUUUGAUAAAUCUUAAUAGUGAAGAAUGGGGUGUAGAUUGUUAGAAAAAGACAAAUCCAUGGGGAUUUGAAUGUUAUUCGUACUGUUUUGAGUGGACAUAAGACAGUCCUGUGUAACUAGAGAAUAAAGUACGUUUAGCACCGUGAUGGGAGAAGAGAUGAGAAAGAUAAGCUGGAUCAAAUGACUUAAAGGACUUGAAAUCCAUCUUAAAAUAAAGGCUUCUACGAUAAAAAAAAAGGUAACUAAAAUCAAAGUGCCAAAAGGAAUAAGAAAAAGGUAAGUGAAAUCAAAGUUUUCUAUUAUAGAAGGAAAAUGAGUUGUUAUUUAUAAUGAAAAAUUGGAGAAGACAGAAACUGGUUAGGGAGUGGUUGACAUACCCCAUAACAUGAGGAUCUGAGGGCCAAGGUAUUAUGGAGAAUGGAAUUAUGGAGGAUAGGGCGAGACAAGAGACAUUUCAGAGAAAAAAAGCUGUGCUCCACAACCAGCUGUACUAGAACUUGCUAUUGUUCUCUGACGCCAAACCCUCCAUUGGGGUAAGCUAUGUUCAAUCACCUUCAUCUCGUAAGUGUUCAAGUGGGCUUUGCAGGAAAAUUGGUAUCUACUACUUCAGGAGGGAGACUCUUUAACCCAGAAGAAGGCAAAAAAAAAGUUUGAGCUGCCAAGUCUUAUUUGUGUUUAAUGUAUUUUAUCGAAUUAUCUUGAAGACUCAGUUCUUAGUUCUGUGUCAUAAAUAUGAACACUAUAUUUCCUCCAUUUGGGAAUUUUCAGUACUUUCCUUAAAAGGAGGCUAGCAAAAUGUAGUUUUUCUACAAACUCACUUACAUGGGUUGAAAGAGGAGUUUAUUUCCUAAGAUGUACUAUCUUGAAUAUUUAUUUUAGAUAAUUAUUUAUGCUUACAG
rnacentral:lncRNA from 10 species